GCUUGUUAGCACACAACCCCAAAUCUUUAACAUGCUUAAGAUUUGUCUUUCUUUCCAACUACAUCUUAUGGAGUUAUGAAAAUAUUGGAAGAUCUUCUCAUUGACAAUCAUAUUGUUUUUAGAAGUAUAUAUCCUAUAUAUGGGUAAUAGAUAACAUCUAACGAACUAAAUCUUAUUCAAGUUCGUUCUUCUCCUAAUGGAGAAAUACAUUAUCUUACGAUGCUAUUUUCCUUGAUAUCUUUCAAGGAAACUCAUCUAAAGUGUUACCUUAUCUUGGAUCAAAUCUAAGGAGGUAAUUACUUUAGACGUCUUACUCAUCAACAUACAUUACUUGAAUUCUUUGAAACAUUUUGCAAAGUAUUCGGACUUGUGUUUAUUCAAAAUAAACUAUAGUCCAACCGAGAGUGAUCUUCGGUGAAUGUUAUUCAACAUGAGUAAUAUUAUGUUUGUGGACAAGUGCCACUAACAUUUAAGUGAAUUAACCUCAACAACUUUGUGAUUCUUUCUUCUUUCCAAAAGAAUAAAGAUUCGAACAUUUCGCCUUUGUACAAUUUUAACAAGAAGGUAUUGGAUCCGGAUCUAACGAUCCAAAGCAUCCAUCUAUGACCAACUCGUAAUUUAUGUUUUAGAGGUAUCACAACUUUAGUUGGGAUUAGUCACUAUCUUGCAACCUUUUGGGUUUUAAGCAUCAUUAUUUUCUAAACAGUUAACACCACCAUAUUAUCUCUACUAUAGAGAUAAUUAAUUAGAUUACCAUAAUCCAAUCAUUGAUUAAUAAAGAACAUUGUUUUGUCAAACAAAACAUUUAUCCAUUUCACAUAGUGACGGAAUUUAGUUCCUUAAAAUUGGAAUAUAAAGACAAUCUAUGUUUUUUUUCCAAUUUCUUUGGUAGUUCAUAUGAGGAAGUAAGUACCAUCUGCUUUCGCAGAGAUCUACAUUUGAUUCACGUUUCCGAAUGUGAAGUACUUUCUCUUCUCUCAUUAAUCUUCUACUUCUUAUUAGCCACACUUUUACAACGAUUGUAAAACAUAGUCACUAAUACGGAAUCAUGCAUUCAAGUAGAAGAACCAACUGUUUUGAACUAUUCAAGAACAAUUUACAACACCUUUGAAAGGUGUGUCCUUGACACUUGCAAGACAUUUCUUGCAAAUACCCCUUCCAAUAUCCAUCCUUUCAUAAAGAAAGUUUGUUCC
rnacentral:lncRNA from 1 species